GAUGAACGCUGGCGGCGUGCUUAACACAUGCAAGUCGAACGGAAAGGCCCAAGCUUGCUUGGGUACUCGAGUGGCGAACGGGUGAGUAACACGUGGGUGAUCUGCCCUGCACUUCGGGAUAAGCCUGGGAAACUGGGUCUAAUACCGGAUAGGACCACUUCUUGGAUGUUGUGGUGGAAAGUUUUUUCGGUGUGGGAUGAGCUCGCGGCCUAUCAGCUUAUUGGUGGGGUAAUGGCCUACCAAGGCGUCGACGGGUAGCCGGCCUGAGAGGGUGUACGGCCACAUUGGGACUGAGAUACGGCCCAGACUGCUACGGGAGGCAGCAGUGGGGAAUAUUGCACAAUGGGCGCAAGCCUGAUGCAGCGACGCCGCGUGGGGGAUGACGGCCUUCGGGUUGUAAACUCCUUUCGCUAGGGACGAAGCGUUUUGUGACGGUACCUGGAGAAGAAGCACCGGCUAACUACGUG
rnacentral:rRNA from 1 species